AUCCAUUCGGACUCAACCCUUACCAAAAUCUCUCUCUCUCUCUCUCUCCCUCCCUCCCUCCCUCCCCCAUGGUGUCCAGUACGUCUGGUCCCCUACGACGUCGUUUCUGCGUUCUUCGCCGGAGCGGGAGCUUUGAAUCGGCUCUGUGGAUUUGGAGAGAUUUGGUUGCGGCGACGCGUAUUUCCGGGAGUUGCUUCGGGAGUUCCUCAGGUUUGGUUUCGUUUUUGAGCUUUUCAUUUUUGAGCUCAAAUUUUCUCUCUCUUCCAAUCAGAAAGCUUGAAUCGAUUUUGAUCGGAGCUUCUCUCUCCAUUUUGAUUACGAUCCGGAUCUUGUCGGACUUGAGCCACUCACCGCAAUUAUACCCGCCGGAUGUCGACCACGGCGGGAUUUUGUACACUGCGACCUCGCGCACCACUAGCAGCUUAAGAAUCCUCGUCGUCGCAGCCGCCGCGAUCCAUCUCCUUCGUCACUAUAAGCUCGAUCUCCCCUCCGAUCUCCUCUCCUCCAAACCCUCCGAUUAGUGCUGGACCUCCAAAGUGUUAGAAGGGACUUUGCAGCUGAGCAUUAUCAGUAAUCUGGGAGUGCUUCUUGUCCUUUCUUCAAGCUCGGAGAAAUCGUCACCACCAUCCCUACCAUCAGAACAUCAGCUUCACUUUGUGGGAUGUAGGGGGUUAGGACAAGAUCCGUCCAUUGUGGAGGCACUACUUCCAGAACACUCAAGGUCUUAUUUUUGUGGUUGAUCGCAAUGACAGGGAUCGAGUUGUUGAGGCAAGGGAUGAGUUGCACAUGAUGUUGAAUUAGGGAACUGCUGUGGAGUUUCUCUCUCAACUAUCUCAAGAUAGCGCAGAGGAAGAACUCUUGGUGUUAACAGUGUUGAAUAGUAUUAGAUACUAGGCAUCAGGUCUAGUAAGGGUGGUUGUUCUAUACAUUUUAUAUUUCAUAUUUAUAGAUGAAAUUCUAUCAGCCAUAACCAUUUGUACCGAGGGAGGUGACAUUUAGAGCCCCUUGCACAUUAUCAUUUUAGGCUUGUAAUUUGUAUCAAAUAACAAAUUACUGGUGUUUUCUUAUUUUAUCCAAAAAAAAAAAAAUGGUCUUGAUGCUCA